CCAGGUUUCUGCUUUCUGAUAGUGCUCUCCGCUUGCCUGCAAGCUGGAGUCAACCUGGGACCAACCCACCCCUUGCAGGAAGAGGCCCCGGGAAUGAAACACCCCAGGAAUGAAAGACUCACCAACUAUGAAAGAAAGGCUAAUUCUAUACCCACUUAGUGUGACUACAGUUUAGCAAGAGCAUAUGGACAGAGAGACAGGUUCUCAAAGACAAGGAGAUUGCUUCAGCUAGUGUUCAGCCAUUACAGGAUGAAUUUCACCUGGCCACCUCGUCUGAAAGCAUUGAAAUUAUCUUAAGGACUUGGAGACCUAAUAUUUUCAUACUUCAGAAUGACAUUUUACCCAUWUCCCAUUAGUUCUAGUCACAGUGAAGACAAGUGACAAACACUUUGUGACUUCUUGGUAUCGUGGGUAGGCAGUCUUUUCCUUUUCAUCGAAGAGAAGUCGCAUCCUUUUACUGUCUUCGCCUUGGUGCCUAUGCAUUGCUGCAAUGGAUUGCUACUCUUGAUGUCUCUGGCUUAUUAUAGCUUGUUUUGUGCCCUGGCAGCUGCAACCAUGCUGGUAUUAGCUCUAUCAUUACUAGCACUGAUAGGAA